CGCCUGUUUAACAAAAACAUGUCUUCUUGUUAUAUUUAGGAAGUCUGGCCUGCCCGGUGAAAUAUUUUAACGGCCGCGGUAUUCUGACCGUGCAAAGGUAGCAUAAUCAUUAGUCUUUUAAUAGAGGGCUGGUAUGAAGGGUUUAACGAGGUGUUGACUGUCUCAUUCAAUUUGAUUUUUAGAAUUUAAUUUUUUAGUUAAAAAGCUAAAAUAUUAUUGGAAGACGAGAAGACCCUAUAGAGCUUUAUAUUUUUAUUAUUAAUUUAUUAUAGUUUAUUAUUAUUUAUUAUUAAUGAAAAGUAUUUUGUUGGGGUGACAAAAAUAUAUAAUUAACUUUUUUAUUUUAUUUACAUUGAUAUAUGAAUAUUAGAUCCAAUCUUAUUGAUUGUUAGAUUAAGUUACCUUAGGGAUAACAGCG
rnacentral:rRNA from 1 species